GGUCACGAGCGCCAGCGUGAAGCCCCGGCUUGCUGGCCGGCAACCCUCCUUCGCGGGCGGGGUGCUCCGGGUGAGGACCCGGCUCGGCACGUGAUGUGUCGGGCAAGCCGCGUUC
rnacentral:ncRNA from 2 species